CUUAAAUUGAAGAGUUUGAUCAUGGCUCAGAUUGAACGCUGGCGGCAGGCCUAACACAUGCAAGUCGAGCGGAAACGAGUUAUCUGAACCUUCGGGGGACGAUAGCGGCGUCGAGCGGCGGACGGGUGAGUAAUGCCUAGGAAAUUGCCCUGAUGUGGGGGAUAACCAUUGGAAACGAUGGCUAAUACCGCAUGAUGCCUACGGGCCAAAGA
rnacentral:rRNA from 1 species